GACAGAGGGUGCAAACGUUGUUCGGAAUUACUGGGCGUAAAGCGUGUGUAGGCGGCCGUGCAAGUCGGAUGUGAAAUCCCCGGGCUCAACCCGGGAAGGGCACCCGAAACUGCACAGCUCGAGUACCGGAGAGGUUGGUGGAAUUCUCGGUGUAGAGGUGAAAUUCGUAGAUAUCGAGAGGAACACCGGUGGCGAAGGCGGCCAACUGGACGAGUACUGACGCUGAGACACGAAAGCGUGGGGAGCAAACAGG
rnacentral:rRNA from 1 species